rnacentral:lncRNA from 1 species
GUAAAAAUGAGGUGUGGGUACUGACACUUCCCCUGCAGGCCCACCAUGCCAUGGAGAAGAUGGAGGAGUUCAUAUAUAAGGUCUGGGAGGGGCGUUGGAGGGUCAUCCCAUAUGAUGUACUUCCUGACUGGCUUAAGGACAAUGACUAUCUGCUACAUGGCCACAGAUCACCCAUGCCCUCCUUUUGUGCUUGCUUCAAGAGCAUCUUCUGCAUCCACACAGAAACUGGCAACAUCUGGACCCAUCUGCUUGGUUUCGUGCUAUUUCUCUUUUUGGGAAUCUUGACCAUGCUUAGACCAAAUAUGUACUUCAUGCCCCUCUUCAGGAGAAAGUGGUUUUUGGCAUGUGCUUUUUGGGUGCAGUGCUCUGCCUCAGCUUCUCCUGGCUCUUCCAUACCGUUUAUUGUCAUUCAGACAAAGUCUC